rnacentral:rRNA from 1 species
CCACGGGUGGCAGCAGUGAGGAAUAUUGGUCAAUGGGCGAGAGCCUGAACCAGCCAAGUCGCGUGAAGGAUGACGGCCCUACGGGUUGUAAACUCCUUUUGUUAGAGAAGAUUAUGACGGUAUCUAACGAAUAAGCACCGGCUAACUCCGUGCCAGCAGCCGCGGUAAUACGUAGGUGGCAAGCGUUAUCCGGAUUUAUUGGGUGUAAAGGGCGUGUAGGCGGGAAAGCAAGUCAGAUGUGAAAACUCAGGGCUCAACCCUGAGCCUGCAUUUGAAACUGUUUUUCUUGAGUGCUGGAGAGGCAAUCGGAAUUCCGUGUGUAGCGGUGAAAUGCGUAGAUAUACGGAGGAACACCAGUGGCGAAGGCGGAUUGCUGGACAGUAACUGACGCUGAGGCGCGAAAGCGUGGGGAGCAAACAGGAUUAGAUACCCCAGUAGUC